UUCGUAGGUGGCCAACUAAGUCAGACGUGAAAUCCCUCAGCUUAACUGGGGAACUGCGUCUGAUACUGGUUGGCUUGAGUGCAGGAGAGGAACGCGGAAUUCCAGGUGUAGCGGUGAAAUGCGUAGAUAUCUGGAGGAACACCGGUGGCGAAGGCGGCGUUCUGGACUGCAACUGACACUGAGGAACGAAAGCAGGGGAGCAAAC
rnacentral:rRNA from 1 species